GGGCCGGUGGCGGAAUUGGCAGACGCAGGGGACUUAAAAUCCCCCGGUAGCAAUAUCGUGUGGGUUCGACCCCCACCCGGCCUACCA
rnacentral:tRNA from 1 species